rnacentral:rRNA from 1 species
GAUGAACGCUGGCGGCGUGCCUAACACAUGCAAGUCGAGCGGAGAAUUGUUGCUUGCAACAAUUCUUAGCGGCGGACGGGUGAGUAACACGUGGGUAACCUGCCCUAAACAAAGGGAUAACAAUGAGAAAUCAUUGCUAAUACCGUAUAAGCUUACACUAUCGCAUGAUAGAGUAAGAAAAGAUUUAUCGGUUUAGGAGGGGCCCGCGUCUGAUUAGCUAGUUGGAGAGGUAACGGCUCACCAAGGCGACGAUCAGUAGCCGACCUGAGAGGGUGAUCGGCCACAUUGGGACUGAGACACGGACCAAACUCCUACGGGAGGCAGCAGUGGGGAAUAUUGCACAAUGGAGGAAACUCUGAUGCAGCAACGCAGCGUGAAGGAAGAAGGUUUUCGGAUCGUAAACUUCUAUCUACAGGGAAGAAAAAAAUGACGGUACCUGAGUAAGAAGCCCCGGCUAACUACGUG